ensembl:lincRNA
GGCCGCGGCUGGGCGGCUAGUUCAAGUUGCCAUAGCUGCGAGUCUAGGGUGUGAGGAGUCCGUUGCGCCGCUGCGUUUGGUCAGUUGCACCUUCUGGGUCUCUGGCAGCCGCGGGAGCCAGGUGAAGCCUCGGCGAUGAUCCGGCUUUAAGGACCUGGCGUCGUCUUGUCUCAGGUGGUUUGUGGAAGGUGUGGGGCAACCAAAGAUCAUCUACUUAACUAGACCUUUUGCCCUGAAUCUCAUGAAGAAAUGAAAAGAGGCAGGUAUAUGUGCCUAAGAAAAGCACUGAGCUCAGGAGAGAGCAACGCGGAGUUUUGGGGGUGUGCUUUGGUUUGUGUGCAUCAAUGGCGGAUUCAUCCAGUGAUUCAGAGCACUUCCGCUAUAGUGACCGAGUGAGUCGAUGGGCGGCCAGGUCAUGUCGCAGGGAAACUCGGAGUCAUCCUACCAUAGACGUCACAGAGAAGGUCAACAUCAUAACAAGUACUUUACGGGACACCAGUCGGAACCUGCAACAAGUGGACCAGAUGCUUGGGCAAUAUCGAGAAUAUAGUAAUGGACAAGCCGGUACUAUAGAACAUUUAAAAGAAAGCUUGGAACAAUCAAUAGGCCAACUGCGGAGUCAACGUAUAUUGAGAAACUCAAGAGGGAGAAGUAUGUCUGUUACCAGUCUAAGUACAAGUGACCCUGAUGCUGGCAUGAUGGCAGAAGGUCACCAUUUUUCUCCAACUUCACCUCUCAAGAACUAUGAUCCACAAGGAAAUAAAAGAAUUAAAUCCAGAACUGGUGUUCGGUUUAGUCGGGAGACUGAAGACAUGACCCAGUUUCACGCUUUUCAUCAGUCCCUCCGAGACCUCAGCAGUGAGCAAGUUCGCCUUGGCGAGGAUUUCAACAGAGAGCUUUCCAGAAGGAGCCGGUCAGAUGCUGAAACAAAAAAGGCUUUGGAAGAAUUGACUGAAAAACUUAAUGAAGCCCAGAAACAAGAAGUGGUUUCAGAUCGAGUGGAGCGGAGGCUACAGGAGAUAGAGAGAGAGAUGCGCACAGAAAGAGAGCUGGUGGAAAGACGUCAGGAUCAAUUGGGACUGAUGUCAUUAAAGCUGCAGGAGGUAUUGAGGAAACAAGAAGCUAAAGCAGAAGAGAAUGAGGGAGCAAUAAAAAAUAAGCUAAGACAAACUGAAACUGAGAAGAGUCAACUUGAACAGGAAUUGGAGCGAUCUCGCAGGCUGUUGAGUCAGUCGGAAGGCAACAGAGAAAUCCUUUUGCAUCAGGUAGAAGAGCUGCGUACACAACUUACAAAAGCAGAAGGUGAUUCGAAGGGCUUAAAACAUCAAGUAUCCCGGAUUUCCAAGCAACAGUCAGAUCAGGAGGACCAUGAAGACUGGAGGUUUAGGAGAGGGGUAGAGCAAGAAAAACAGGAUCUGGAGAAGCAGAUGUCAGAUUUGAGGGUGCAGCUGAACUUCAAUGCAAUGACAUCUGAGUUAGAGGAAGUGAAACGGUGCAUGGAGCGAAAAGACAAAGAGAAAGCAAAUUUGGCAGCACAAAUAGAGACUUUAGUGUGUGAACUGGAGGACAAGGAAAAACAACAACUACAGAUGUUGGAUAAACUCAAAGAGAUUCAAAAUCACUUUGACACAUGUGAGUCCAACCGUAAGCAUGCUGACCUCCAGAUCUCAGAGCUGACUCACCAUGCCGAGGACGCUACCAAGCAAGCCGAGCAGUACCUCAGUGAGUUGCAGCAGUCAGAGACUCUGAGAGAGGAGGCAGAAAAGAGGAAAGCAGAGCUGAAAGCGAAAGCACAAGAGUCCAUUAGGCAAUGGAAGCUUAAGAGUAAGAAGUUAGAGCGCGCACUGGAAAAACAAUCUGAGACUCUUGAACAACUGACAGAAAAGAACAAUCAGCUUCUAAAAGAAAAGGAUGAUUUGAAAAAUCAGCUUUAUAUAGCAUUGCAACAGAUAGAGAAUCUUAGAAAAGAAUUGAAUGAUGUCUUAACCAGGCGUGCCCUUCAAGAGGAAGAGAUUGACUCUAAGGAGAGGAAACUAAGUGAUAUUCAGUCUCAUCAAGCGGAGCUUGAACAGGAAGUCAAGAAUUCUGUGGAUACCAUUCAAAGACUAGAGAGUGAAUUAAAAAAGCAGAAUAUGGUUCAAAGCCAGAUGAAAUUUGAGAAAGCUCACCUGGAAGAAGAAAUUGCAGAAUUAAGGAAGAGCCAUCUUCAGGACAAAGCUAAACUUCUUGAGAUGCAAGAGUCCAUCAAGGACUUAAGUGCCAUUCGAGCAGAUCUUGCUAAUAAAUUGGCCGAAGAAGAGAAAGCCAAGAAAAUGGUGCUUAAGGACCUUUCUGACCUCACAGCCCAGGCAAAAUCGAAGGAUGAAGAAACAGCUACUGUCAUCACACAGCUGAAGCUGGAGCGAGAUGUUCACCAGAGGGAGCUGGAAGAUCUCACAUCUUCACUGCACAGUGUGAAAAUGAAACAUGAACAAAAUAUUCAGGAGCUGAUGAAGCACUUUAAGAAAGAAAAGAGUGAAGCAGAGCAUCAUAUUAGGACGCUGCAGGUACCUGUGCUGAAUUAUCUUGAUGAU